rfam:Picea glauca, whole genome shotgun sequence.
AUGUACAUUCCUACAACAUUAAUACAUCGGAUCCCAUUAGAACUUUGCAGUUAAGCACGCUUGGGCUAGAGUAUUAUUGGGAUGGGUGACCUCCCGGGAAGUCCUAGUGUUUUACAUG